UUUAGACCUGGGACACCAGGUGGGUGAUUCCCCUCUAAUCAGGGCCUGAUUUAGACCUGGGACACCAGGUGGGUGAUUCCCCUCUAAUCAGGGCCUGAUUUAGACCUGGGACACCAGGUGGGUGAUUCCCCUCUAAUCAGGGCCUGAUUUAGACCUGGGACACCAGGUGGGUGAUUCCCCUCUAAUCAGGGCCUGAUUUAGACCUGAGACACCAGGUGGGUGAUUCCCCUCUAAUCAGGGCCUGAUUUAGACCUGGGACACCAGGUGGGUGAUUCCCCUCUAAUCAGGGCCUGAUUUAGACCUGGGACACCAGGUGGGUGAUUCCCCUCUAAUCAGGGCCUGAUUUAGACCUGGGACACCAGGUGGGUGAUUCCCCUCUAAUCAGGGCCUGAUUUAGACCUGGGACACCAGGUGGGUGAUUCCCCUCUAAUCAGGGCCUGAUUUAGACCUGGGACACCAGGUGGGUGAUUCCCCUCUAAUCAGGGCCUGAUUUAGACCUGGGACACCAGGUGGGUGAUUCCCCUCUAAUCAGGGCCUGAUUUAGACCUGGGACACCAGGUGGGUGAUUCCCCUCUAAUCAGGGCCUGAUUUAGACCUGGGACACCAGGUGGGUGAUUCCCCUCUAAUCAGGGCCUGAUUUAGACCUGGGACACCAGGUGGGUGAUUCCCCUCUAAUCAGGGCCUGAUUUAGACCUGGGACACCAGGUGGGUGAUUCCCCUCUAAUCAGGGCCUGAUUUAGACCUGGGACACCAGGUGGGUGAUUCCCCUCUA